GAUCCUGGCUCAGGAUGAACGCUGGCGGCGUGCUUAACACAUGCAAGUCGAGCGAAGCACUUAGGAAAGAUUCUUCGGAUGAUUUCCUAUUUGACUGAGCGGCGGACGGGUGAGUAACGCGUGGGUAACCUGCCUCAUACAGGGGGAUAACAGUUAGAAAUGACUGCUAAUACCGCAUAACGACCACAGCACCGCAUGGUGCGAAGGGGUAAAACUCCGGUGGUAUGAGAUCGGACCCGCGU
rnacentral:rRNA from 1 species